rnacentral:rRNA from 1 species
UACAUGGGGUGCAAACGUUGCUCGGAAUUAUUGGGCGUAAAGCGCACGUAGGCGGUUCGUUAAGUCGGAUGUGAAAGCCCUCGGCUCAACUGAGGAAGUGCACCCGAAACUGGCGAGCUUGAGUACGAAAGAGGAUCGCGGAAUUCCCGGUGUAGAGGUGAAAUUCGUAGAUGUCGGGAGGAACACCGGUGGCGAAGGCGGCGAUCUGGGUCGAUACUGACGCUGAGGUGCGAAAGCGUGGGGAGCAAACAGG